UCGUAUGACGGGGAUCCGGCCUGAGAGGGUGAACGGACACACUGGAACUGACACACGGUCCAGACUCCUACGGGAGGCAGCAGUAGGGAAUAUUGCUCAAUGGGGGAAACCCUGAAGCAGCAACGCCGCGUGGAGGAUGAAGGUUUUAGGAUUGUAAACUCCUUUUGUUAGAGAAGAUAAUGACGGUAUCUAACGAAUAAGCACCGGCUAACUCCGUGCCAGCAGCCGCGGUAAUACGGAGGGUGCAAGCGUUACUCGGAAUCACUGGGCGUAAAGAGCGCGUAGGCGGGAUAGCAGCAGGUUAAAACC
rnacentral:rRNA from 1 species